ACCCUCCGCUCCUCCUCCUUCCCUUGUCCGCCGCCGCACUCCCUCCCUCCUCCCUCGUUGCCACACCCUCCGCUCCUCCUCCUUCCCUUGUACCCCGCCGCACUCCCUCCCUCCUCCCUCGUCACCACACCCUCCACCCUAGGACCACACGCUCGUCCUGUCGUCUCAUGUGCCAUCGCUGCCGGCCCCUGCCAUGGUGUCGCGGAGCUCUUCCCGCGCCCUCGCGUCCAACAUCACCAAGUCCUCGAUGCCGGCCUCAUCGGCUUGCUGCGGCGACCGCUCUUGACGCCGUCCUUGCGACCCGACAGGGGCAAACCCGACCGCGGGCGGCUCAUGUGGUGGUGCAGCGGACGGCAGCCUCAGCGGGUGAGCGAUGAAGACUCCAGCUGGUACACGACCUCGCACCCCGAUGCGUCCAUGCUCGAAUAGCUCGCAUCUUCAUGGCCACCAAGUGCGCAGGCCAAUAGUUAAGUUUUCCACGGAUGUGUCCUUGUUGGAUGGAUGGUGACUAACGAGAUGCACUUCUUUGACACAAGUAAUUUUAAUAAAGGGAUUGUGUACAAGUGUUCAGAUCUUUUCUUGUGACAAGGAUGCACAAAAUCAAGUUGUCUGUCGGUAGGAGAUUUUUUCGCUGUCCAACUGUUCAGUUCCACUAGAACAAGGGGUCUACUGGACUUCUUAUUGUCUCCAAACCUGAUGUGGAUAAAACCAACUAGAGUAUUAUGGCGAAACCAAGUUGCACUACUUGACAACUGAUAGGGCCUUUGAUGGAAUUGUUCCUCUUAAAAAGGAGGGGCCAGUGCAUGAUGUUCAGUGGUCUUCUUCAGGUUCUGAAUUUGUUGUGAUCUAUGGAUAUAUCCUUACAUAUUCUGGUGACCCAUGCAUGAGUCAUGCCUCCCCGUUCUGAUGUCCAUAUAAAUCUUUCUUUCUCUUCAUCACCUCUGACUUUUAUUAGCUCGAGCCUUCAUAAGAGGAAGUAUACGAUCUGUUCUGCCAGCUUUAGAUUCUUAUAGAUUACCCAGGUAUCGUUUAUGGGUCGGAGUCAUUAAUUCAUGCCUAUAUUUGAAAAAAAUAUGUGCAAAGAACUGCAUUAUUCAUGCUGGCAUUAGAUUUCUCUUUUUUCGGACUGGCCUGCUAAUGGUAGCCUCACUUCUUUACAUAGUCCUUACAUGAACCAUAACAUUUCUGAUUUAAUGUGUUUGUUCUCUACCACUGUUCCUUGACUGAAUCUCGGUUAGGCUGGCCAGAGCAACAAUAUUCAGCCAAAAAUGCAAUCCUCUUCACGACCUUGGUGAAGGCCAUUAUAAUACGAUAAGAUGGAAUCCCGAAGGGUGAUGUAUCCUUGCAAUAAUUUGAUCAGCCAGUCGUGCUAUGUUCUCUGGUCUUAGUGGGUGUAGAUAUAUAUGCAUACCCUUCUGUUAUAGUUUGGUUAUUAGCAUAGCAAUAUGCGUCUAACAAAUUGUUAAUGUUCUGUUAUUGCUUGCUUUCGUGUAAGAAAAAAAAUCGUGUUUAUCUUGAUGAUAUCCUUGACCCAAGUUUCUCCACCAAUUAUUGUUAUAGUUGGACCUGGUAAUUUGCCUGGUGAUAUUGUCACUAAAAUUUGUAUUUGACAAUAGCCUUAACAGUUAGAAUGAGUAAACAUUCUGAUUGGGGAAGUCUUCUAUGCUUUAAAGAGAGCCUAUGAGAGACUACAAAAGCAAAAAGGGCAUGCUUUGAUAUUUCUUUAUGUGGUUGCCACAUAGCUCAUAGUUUUUUUGUCCAGUUUUCUGGGACUAUUCAGAAAAGAAAUUAGUAGGGAAAACAAAGGCUAAAUGGCAUGUCCGAUGGUCGCCAUUUUAUGAUAGUCACUACAGCUCCAAGGCUUCAAAUAUGUCGACAGCAUGAUAAUGGAAAUGGUGUGGAUCCUUACAUU